CCCCUAGAUGUUCUGGGCCGCACGCGCGCUACACUGAACAGUUCAACAAGUCUUAACCUUGGCCGAUAGGUCUGGGUAAUCUUUGAACGCUGUUCGUGAUUGGGAUAGACCUUUGCAAUUAUGGGUUUUCAACGAGGAAUGCCUAGUAAACGCAAGUCAUCAGCUUGCAUUGAUUACGUCCCUGCCCUUUGUACACACCGCCCGUCGCUCCUACCGAUUGAAUGGUCCGGUGAAGCCUCCGGAUUGGCGCGCACCUCGGUGCCGCCGAGAAGUUGGCUAAACCUUACCAUUUAGAGGAAGGUGAAGUCGUAACA
rnacentral:rRNA from 1 species